CAUGCAAGUCGAACGGAAAGGCCCUUCGGGGUACACGAGUGGCGAACGGGUGAGUAACACGUGGGUAAUCUGCCCUGCACUUUGGGAUAAGCCUGGGAAACUGGGUCUAAUACCGAAUAGGACCACGGGAUGCAUGUCCUGUGGUGGAAAGCUUUUGCGGUGUGGGAUGGGCCCGCGGCCUAUCAGCUUGUUGGUGGGGUGAUGGCCUACCAAGGCGACGACGGGUAGCCGGCCUGAGAGGGUGUCCGGCCACACUGGGACUGAGAUACGGCCCAGACUCCUACGGGAGGCAGCAGUGGGGAAUAUUGCACAAUGGGCGGAAGCCUGAUGCAGCGACGCCGCGUGGGGGAUGACGGCCUUCGGGUUGUAAACCUCUUUCACCAUCGACGAAGGUUCGAGGUUUCUCGGAUUGACGGUAGGUGGAGAAGAAGCACCGGCCAACUACGUGCCAGCAGCCGCGGUAAUACGUAGGGUGCGAGCGUUGUCCGGAAUUACUGGGCGUAAAGAGCUCGUAGGUGGUUUGUCGCGUUGUUCGUGAAAACUCACA
rnacentral:rRNA from 1 species